rnacentral:lncRNA from 1 species
AGGAGAGGAGGAGAGAGGAGAGGAGAGAGGAGAGAGGAGAGGAGAGGAGGAGAGGAGAGGAGGAGAGAGGAGAGAGGAGAGAGGAGAGGAGAGGAGGAGAGAGGAGAGAGGAGAGGAGAGGAGGAGAGAGGAGAGGAGAGAGGAGAGGAGAGGAGGAGAGGGGAGAGGGGAGGAGGAGAGGAGGGACGAGAGAUGGCAAGAAGGUGUGGGGUGAUGGAGUGAACAGGGAGACUUUACAGAUUCACAAACACACACACAAACACACACACUCUCGCACACACACACACACACUCACACACACACACACACACACACAUAGAAGUUGAACUCUGACACCAACAGAAAAAUCUGAACUGGAAUCAAAUCGUCUCACAGGAUGUUUGUCAGUAACUGGAUCGAGAUGAAACUUAUUAUUUCACCUGAGAAACACUUCCACACACACACACACACACACACACACACACACACACACACACAGAGUUCCUGUGAAAACCACUCUGGGGGAUUCCACACACUCAUCUCUCUCUCUCUCCUGCCCACGGUGUAAAUAUUGAAGCUGCGUCUGUCGGUGCUCAGAGGGUUAAUGUUGGUGAGGGAGGGGGGGGCCCCUGUGAGCGGGCAGCGAGGGGUUAAAACGGGCUGGAAACUACACACACCUACAGGUCUGUUAUUAAACACACCAACUGUUCCUUUAGAGAGACAGAACGCCUUACCCAUCAGCCCCUGCUGCUCUCCUUACCCAUCGUCCUGCGUCCAGAUCGUACGAACACGUCUUUGUCUUUAACUCCCUUUUAGUUUAAAUAAAUUUACGUUUUUAAACAGUUUCAUGUCGUCAGGGUUCGACAGUUUCUCUGUGACUAAAAAUUGAUGUGUGUGAAAUAAAGUAAAAUGUAUUUAGGGGCACAUAAAAAUAUCAACAAACGUUUUUUUCCUGUAAAUACGGCGGUGAAGUUAGUUUUAGGUUGGAUAUAUUUUCCUGUAAAUACGGCGGUGAAGUUAGUUUCAGGUUGGAUAUAUUUUCCUGUAAAUACGGCGGUGAAGUUAGUUUCAGGUUGGAUAUAUUUUCCUGUAAAUACGGCGGUGAAGUUAGUUUUAGGUUGGAUAUAUUCUCCUGUAAAUACGGCGGUGAAGUUAGUUUCAGGUUGGAUAUAUUUUCCUGUAAAUACAGCGGUGAAGUUAGUUUUAGGUUGGAUAUAUUUUCCUGUAAAUACGGCGGUGAAGUUAGUUUUAGGUUGGAUAUAUUUUCCUGUAAAUACGGCGGUGAAGUUAGUUUUAGGUUGGAUAUAUUUUCCUGUAAAUACGGCGGUGAAGUUAGUUUUAGGUUGCAUAUAUUUUCUUGUAAAUACGGCGGUGAAGUUAGUUUUAGGUUGGAUAUAUUUUCCUGUAAAUACGGCGGUGAAGUUAGUUUUAGGUUGGAUAUAUUUUCCUGUAAAUACGGCGGUGAAGUUAGUUUUACAUUGGAUAUAUUUCCUGUAAAUACGGCGGUGAAGUUAGUUUCAGGUUGGAUAUAUUUUCCUGUAAAUACGGCGGUGAAGUUAGUUUUAGGUUGGAUAUAGUUCCCUGUAAAUACGGCGGUGAAGUUAGUUUCAGGUUGGAUAUAUUUCCCUGUAAAUAUGGCGGUGAAGUUAGUUUUAGGUUGGAUAUAUUUUCCUGUAAAUACGGCGGUGAAGUUAGUUUUAGGUUGGAUAUAUUUCCCUGUAAAUACGGCGGUGAAGUUAGUUUUAGGUUGGAUAUAUUUCCCUGUAAAUACGGCGGUGAAGUUAGUUUCAGGUUGGAUAUCUGACGGACAUUCUCUGAGGAUCUACCGUUGUCUUCUCACUCUCCAUAACCGGGAAUAACAACAGCAGCGCAGUUAAAUCUACUCGACACCCUCACUGUCAACGUCGGUGUUGAAUAAGGGACCGUCAAUAAAUUACUGGUUGAUGUUCUCAGAAAAGGCUGUUUUCCUUUAAUAGCUUCACUGUCAUAUGAACAAAAGACCUAAAAUUGAUUUCUAAUAAUAGUACUAAGGUCGAUCAAUAAGACAAACAUUAUUGAUCAGUUUUCCCCUGAAGUUUUUUUGUGCUCCUGAUGACCAAAGUUCAUGUCGAACCCUGGUUAGUGUGCGAUUCAUUCUUCAGAUCGAGUUUAAUUAAUUUUUUUAUUCGGUUAAAUUAACAGAAUUAUUUUAAAACUUCUGAACAUGUUUCAUCAAAAUGACUAAAGAGAGUCGAUGUGUCUGUAAAUCUGCAGAUAUUAUUAUUAUAUCUGAGCUCUUCUUCUCACUAACUAAUAACUGUCAGAACAGGUUUGAUCGUUUAUUAGAAAAUCUGAUAAUAAUAAUAUUAAUAAUAAUAAUAAUAACCAGAAUUAUAAUAGUGUAUAAAAGAUAAAAAUACACAUGAAUAAGAAGAAGUGACGGUUAUUUAGGGAGAGAGAAGGUGAGGGAGGGCUGGGGGGGAGAGAGAGUGGGGGGGUAGCAGGGAUACGGCUCAACUUACCCCCCCAUACCCGGGGUAAGUUGACCAUAGGAGACCCUGUUUCUGUCCUGUUCUAUUCUGAAGAUGACGGUUCAGUUUUUACUCAGUCUGAUGGUUCAGAGCGAAAAACAACAAACUGAGAAAUCUGAGGAGAGUUAGAGACACACACACACACACAAACACACAGUUAGAGACACACACACUGACACACACGAGUUAGAGACACACACACACAGACACACACACACACACACACACACACACACACAGUUAGAGACACACAGACACACACACUGACACACACACAGUUAGACACACACACACACACACACACACACAGUUAGAGACACACAGACACACACACUGACACACACACAGUUAGACACACACACACACACACACACACACACACACACAGUUAGAGACACACAGACACACACACUGACACACACACACAGUUAGACACACACAGACACACACACACACUGACAUGGAUCAUCCUAACUUUAUUAACUUCAUUAAAGAAACAUUUGGGUCUCCAGAACUUUCCUCUCAGGUCUGAAGGUUCUGAUGGUUCUGGUGGUUUUGAAGGUUCUGGUGGUUCUGAAGGUUCUGGUGGUUCUGCUCUGAACUUUAGUCUCUUUGCCCCCCCCUCGUUAGCCUCGUUAGCCUCGUUAGCUCCGCCGGUUGCUAACGGCUAACUAGCUCUCCCUCUGCCGGUAAACCCUCCCCCUUCCCUCUCUCAGCCGCUCUCAGCCCGCGGGAGGACCGGCGCACAGACCCCGCCACAGUUUCCAGCUGUUCCCGGUCAGGUGUGUCCUCUGUGGGGGACAAACAGCGGGCCGAGGUCCCGCAAUAAGACGAUAAGAGGAAAGU